UGGGGAAUUUUGGACAAUGGGGGCAACCCUGAUCCAGCAACGCCGCGUGAAGGAUGAAGGUCUUCGGAUCGUAAACUUCUUUUGCAGGGGAAGAAUCACUCCGUGAAUAACGGAGAAUGACGGUACCCUGCGAAUAAGCCACGGCUAACUUCGUGCCAGCAGCCGCGGUAAUACGAAGGUGGCAAGCGUUACUCGGAAUUACUAGGCGUAAAGCGCAGGUAGGUGGUUAGGUAAGUCUGUAAUGAAAUCUCCCGGCUUAACUGGGAGGGGUUUAUAGAUACUGCUUGACUUGAGUGUGGGAGAGGUAACUGGAAUUCCAGGUGUAGCGGUGAAAUGCGUAGAUAUCUGGAGGAACACCAAUGGCGAAAGCAGGUUACUGGCCCAAUACUGACACUGAGCUGCGAAAGCUAGGGGAGCAAACAGG
rnacentral:rRNA from 1 species